AGGACCGGAGUGGACGCAUCACUGGUGUUCGGGUUGUCAUGCCAAUGGCACUGCCCGGUAGCUAAAUGCGGAAGAGAUAAGUGCUGAAAGCAUCUAAGCACGAAACUUGCCCCGAGAUGAGUUCUCCCUGACCCUUUAAGGGUCCUGAAGGAACGUUGAAGACGACGACGUUGAUAGGCCGGGUGUGUAAGCGCAGCGAUGCGUUGAGCUAACCGGUACUAAUGAACCGUGAGGCUUAACCUUACAACGCCGAAGGUGUUU
rnacentral:rRNA from 1 species